rnacentral:rRNA from 1 species
CAAAAACAUCUUUUCUCGUUAGUUUUUGAAGUAUGGCCUGCCCACUGACUUGGUGUUGAAGGGCCGCGGUAUUUUGACCGUGCAAAGGUAGCAUAAUCAUUAGUUCUUUAAUUGUGAUCUGGUAUGAAUGGCUUGACGAGACAUGGGCUGUCUUAAAAGUAUUGUUUGUUGAAUUUGGUCUUUGAGUUAAAAUUCUUAGAUGUUUUUAUGGGACGAGAAGACCCUAUAGAGUUUGACAUUUUAUCUUGCUGUGUUUUAAAAUUUGUUUGUUAUGUAUUUGCGGUAAGGUUGGGUGUUUUGUUGGGGUGAUGGGAGGAAUUUUUUUAACUCCUCUUUAUUUUUAUAUAUUUAUUUAUAUUUUUUUGAUCCAUUUAUUUUGAUUAUAAAAUUAAAUUACCUU